rnacentral:rRNA from 1 species
UACGUAGGGUGCAAGCGUUGUCCGGAAUCAUUGGGCGUAAAGAGCGUGUAGGCGGCCCGGUUAGUCCGCUGUGAAAGUCCAGGGCUCAACCCUGGAAUGCCGGUGGAUACUGUCGGGCUAGAGUCCGGAAGGGGCGAGUGGAAUUCCUGGUGUAGCGGUGGAAUGCGCAGAUAUCAGGAGGAACACCAAUAGCGAAGGCAGCUCGCUGGGACGUUACUGACACUGAGGCGCGAAAGCGUGGGGAGCGAACAGG